AUCCAGCUGACGGGCCCCGAAUAGGACGAAACGUGUGUCCUGGAU
rnacentral:hammerhead_ribozyme from 1 species